rnacentral:tRNA from 1 species
ACGGAUGUGAUGGAAUAGGUAGACAUGCUAGGUUUAGGUUCUGGUGGGAAAUCCGUGUGGGUUCAAUUCCCACCGUCCGU